UGAGGAAUAUUGCACAAUGGGGGAAACCCUGAUGCAGCAACGCCGCGUGGAGGAUGACGCAUUUCGGUGUGUAAACUCCUUUUAUGAGUCAAGAAAAUGACGGUAGCUCAUGAAUAAGCACCGGCUAACUCCGUGCCAGCAGCCGCGGUAAUACGGAGGGUGCAAGCGUUAUUCGGAAUCACUGGGCGUAAAGGACGCGUAGGCGGGUUGGAAAGUCAGGUGUGAAAGCCUACAGCUUAACUGUAGAACUGCACUUGAAACUCUCAACCUAGAGUAUGGGAGGGGGAGAUGGAAUUAGUGGUGUAGGGGUAAAAUCCGUAGAUAUCACUAGGAAUACCGAAAGCGAAGGCGAUCUCCUGGAACAUAACUGACGCUAAGGCGUGAAAGCGUGGGGAGCAAACG
rnacentral:rRNA from 1 species